rnacentral:lncRNA from 12 species
AUGAAGCCUUGCAGGAAGAAUGUGCCAGAAAGGCUCUGCGCCGCCUCGCCACCUGCCUCUCCUUCAGAGACUGCUCUCGCUCCUGGCUCACCAGGCCCUUCGGGGUUCUGGCUCUGUGUGGACAAACCUCUCCAGCUUGACCCCCGGGCACAGAUCCGACGUCCUCCUGCAUCGCCCACACAGCACGGCCACAGCGGAGAACCUCCCGCGCUCGCCUGCCCCGGGGACCCAGGAGUUACACACGCAGGGCGUCAAAAGAUGGCAAUGGUUCAGCUGACACAUGGGGGCUGCCCUGAGCCCUGGGGAGCGGGACCUCCCUGUGCCUGCCACCCUCGCCCCUCCAGCCCCGGCCGCCCACGGCGCAGCAGGUGCAGGGUGACCUCCCCCAGGAGAGCCCAGCAGGAGGCAGUCUAUGUCUGUCCCCAUCACUCACACCUGUGGCCUCAGCCCAGCUGGGAGUCUCUUUUCUGGGAUCACGACCUGAGCUCUCUGCUGAAGAAAUUUCCACCAUGUUCCUAAGCUUCGGUGACAUCGUAUUCACAGGUGCUAGCUGAGUAGUGUCCCUCCUGGAACCUCAGAGUGUGGCCUCUUGGUAAUUAGGGUCAUCACAGAUUUAACUGGUCAUAGUGGAGCGAAGAGGCCUCAGAUCACACACGACAGGUGCUUUCAUAAGAAAAGGGGGACAGACGCACAUGGCAGACACGCACUGAUAUGUCGAUGUGGAGCACCGAGCAUUGGCUGCCACCUCUGGAAGCAGAAAGAGGCGAGGAGGACUGUCCUCUUGACGGUGCCCUGUCACUCGCUGAAUUCAGGGAAUGUGUGCCCGUCCUGCCACCAAGGUGCCAAGACGGCCGCGGGAGUCACAUCUCUCCCAGGCAGGGUCGCGAUUUCCUGCUCCACCGUGUCCUGAGCGCCUGUUGGGGGUUAGAUACGGAGAAGACUUAAGGGUGGCUGGGACUGCUCGUGUCACCUCGGGUCACCACGGGCGGGGAGAGAAUGUAUGUGUCGUCGGCAGUGACAACAACAAAGUGCUAAUAAACACCACCAGUGAGCGAACGCUCA